UAGUUGUAAAUAUUUUUUUUCUUUUCACGAUACAAAUCUAAUACUUUUUAGGCAAUUUUUUUUCCCACGUUUAUUUUGCAUCUUUAUUAUUCUAGUUUCUAGGUUUGAGUUUUCACUUUUUAAACUAAUUUUGCGAUUUUCGCUGGAGACCGGAGACUCACGUCAUUGAUGGUCAGUGGCAGGCCCGUUUAGGAGCUCCUGUAAAUAGCGAGGAGUUAUUAAGUUAACGUUGAAUCCAUAUGACCCCGAAAAUCAAUAAAUUAGUUUGAACUGACAAAAACGAACCUACGAAAAAUUUGAUUGACUUUGAACCUUCGAUUCAAGCCAAUCAAAUUUUUCGUAACUUUAGCGCGGAAUGAUGUAACGGGUUAAUAAUGCAAAACCUUUUCUUUGUAAGACCAAUAUCAAAAACACAUUGAUUUGAGAUAAACGACUGUAAAUAUUCAUAUAAUUAUAUCCUUAAUAGUUUAACCAAAAUAAAUAAGCGUUAAUUAAAUUAUUUUAUUCCUAAAGCGAAAACAUUUCGACUUAAUAUUUCAAGCGCCACCCUAGACGAACAAUCAUCAAAACCAUUAACACGCUGUUGAAUGCUUUAGAUCAACCAACACACUUCCAACUUUAAACGUGUGGCUUGAGACGCCGUCUUUCGUAGACCACCGACGGCAGACUUUGUUUGCAUCAGGUGAAUGACCUCCUUCGGGAUGCGUUGUGAACCUAAAAGUUUGGGGAAGAAAAAGAUUGGUUUCUAAUUUCGGAUUUGGAAGGGGAAGACAAGGGCUAUCCGAGAAUUCGCGAGAGAGGAUUUAAUUGUUUAACUUCGCGAUUCGACUAAGUCGGAUCGGGUAGUUCCGGUCACGAAGUUAAACUAAUCCAGUAAGCCAGAUGACGAAAAGAUCUCCCAACCCAUUUAUUCCCGGUGAUUAGCGUAGGAAAGAUCGGUUUCAGUUCACACCGAAAGUAGAGUUAGACUUGCCCACACUAGAGCUAGGAAGCAUAGGUAGUGCAGUGCAAGAAGUGUUUACGACAUUGGUUCGACCCGAAGAUACAACUGCACAACCACCUAGAAGUCGCCCACGCCCCAGCCGAAGCGAACUCCACUAUUGCUGACGGCUAGCAGACAUCAACACCCAGCCGAACAGUGAUACCGCCUUCAGGACCACCGCGCCGCGGUCUUCUCGAGACUACGAGAGCCGCGGUCAUUUUUCAUCGUCGUGUUCAACAAACAGCAGACCACGACGGCUAGCUAGAGAACAUCUUCUCUAGCCGCGCCGUAACCCGCCGACCAAAAAGUGUAGCUGAAUCACCGCAGCAGAGCUACCACCACAUGAACGCCAACUAGAGUGGUAAGCCGCAGGAGGGCCGCAGUAGUUGACCGCAG